rnacentral:rRNA from 1 species
UACAGAGGGUGCGAGCGUUAAUCGGAAUUACUGGGCGUAAAGCGCGCGUAGGCGGCUUUGCAAGUCGGGUGUGAAAUCCCCAGGCUUAACCUGGGAACUGCAUUCGAGACUUCAUUGCUAGAGUAUGGGAGAGGGAAGUGGAAUUUCCGGUGUAGCGGUGAAAUGCGUAGAUAUCGGAAGGAACAUCAGUGGCGAAAGCGACUUCCUGGACCAAUACUGACGCUCAUGUGCGAAAGCGUGGGGAGCAAACAGG